rnacentral:rRNA from 1 species
UACGAAGGGGGCUAGCGUUGCUCGGAAUCACUGGGCGUAAAGGGUGCGUAGGCGGGUUUUUAAGUCCGGGGUGAAAUCCUGGAGCUCAACUCCAGAACUGCCUUUGAUACUGAAGAUCUUGAGUCCGGGAGAGGUGAGUGGAACUGCGAGUGUAGAGGUGAAAUUCGUAGAUAUUCGCAAGAACACCAGUGGCGAAGGCGGCUCACUGGCCCGAUACUGACGCUGAGGCACGAAAGCGUGGGGAGCAAACAGG